GCCCGCUUGGCGGAAUUGGUAGACGCAAGCGACUUAAAAUCGCUCGGCUUUGCCGUGCCGGUUCGAUCCCGGCAGCGGGCA
rnacentral:tRNA from 1 species